UUUAUACUUCCUCCGUCCAAAAAUACUUGUAGUAGGGAUGGAUGUAUCUAGGUGUAUUUUAGUUUUAGAUACAUCCAUUUAUAUUUAUUUUUGUGACAAGUAAUUUCGGACGUAGGAAGUACUUU
rfam:Hordeum vulgare subsp. vulgare, WGS project CAJW01000000 data, contig: morex_contig_39222